GACGAACGCUGGCGGCGUGCCUAAUACAUGCAAGUUGAGCGAUGAAGAUUGGUGCUUGCACCAAUUUGCAGAGCAGCGAACGGGUGAGUAACGCGUGGGGAAUCUGCCUUUGAGCGGGGGACAACAUUUGGAAACGAAUGCUAAUACCGCAUAACAACUUUAAACAUAAGUUUUAAGUUUGAAAGAUGCUAUUGCAUCACUCAAAGAUGAUCCCGCGUUGUAUUAGCUAGUUGGUGAGGUAAAGGCUCACCAAGGCGAUGAUACAUAGCCGACCUGAGAGGGUGAUCGGCCACAUUGGGACUGAGACACGGCCCAAACUCCUACGGGAGGCAGCAGUAGGGAAUCUUCGGCAAUGGACGAAAGUCUGACCGAGCAACGCCGCGUGAGUGAAGAAGGUUUUCGGAUCGUAAAGCUCUGUUGGUAGAGAAGAACGUUGGUGAGAGUGGAAAGCUCAUCAAGUGACGGUAACUACCCAGAAAGGGACGGCUAACUACGUG
rnacentral:rRNA from 1 species